rnacentral:rRNA from 1 species
UCCCAGUUCGGAUUGUAGUCUGCAACCCGACUACAUGAAGCUGGAAUCGCUAGUAAUCGCGAAUCAGAAUGUCGCGGUGAAUACGUUCCCGGGUCUUGUACACACCGCCCGUCACACCAUGGGAGCCGGAAACGCCCGAAGCCAGCGGCCCAACCGCAAGGGGGGAGCUGUCGAAGGCGGGUCCGGUGACCGGGGGUGAAGUCGUAACAAGGUAGC